rnacentral:misc_RNA from 1 species
UACGGGGAGUGCAAGCGUUGUUCGGAAUCAUUGGGCGUAAGGCGCGUGUAGGCGGCCUGGUAAGUUCGGUGUGAAAGCCCUCGGCUCAACCGAGGAAGUGCAUCGAAUACUGUCAGGCUUGAGUGCGGGAGGGGAGAGCGGAAUUCCCAGUGUAGAGGUGAAAUUCGUAGAUAUUGGGAGGAACACCAGUAGCGAAGGCGGCUCUCUGGACCGACACUGACGCUGAGACGCGAAAGCGUGGGUAGCAAACAGG